AACGUAGGAGGCAAGCGUUAUCCGGAGUUACUGGGCGUAAAGAGUGCGUAGGCGGAUUGAUAAGUGGGUGGUGAAAGCUCCCGGCUCACCUGGGAGAGGACGUGUGAUACGGCGGGGCUCGAGCGAGGUAGGGGGCCAUGGAAUUCCCGGUGUAGUGGUGGAAUGCGUAGAGAUCGGGAGGAACACCCGUGGCGAAGGCGAUGGCCUGGACCUCGAGCUGACGCUGAGGCGCGAAAGCGUGGGGAGCGAUCCGG
rnacentral:rRNA from 1 species